GCGACCCCAGGUCAGGYGGGACUACCCGCUGAAU
rnacentral:rRNA from 1 species